CUAGGAUUAGAUACCCUAUUAUUUAAAAUGUAAAAACUAAAGUAUUAAUAGAUAUGGUCUUUAAACUUAAAAAAUUUGGCGGUAUUUUAGUCUAUUCAGAGGAACCUGUUUUAUAAUCGAUAAUCCACGUUGGACCUUACUUUAAUUUAUAAAUUAGUCUAUAUAUCGUCGUUAUAAAAAAUUUUAUAAGAAUAAUAAUUUUUAAAAUUUUAUAUCAGAUCAAGGUGUAGCUUAUAUUAAAGAAAAUAAUGGGUUACAAUAAAAUUAUUUAUAUGAAUAUAAUAAUGAAAAAUUUAUUGAAAUAGGAUUUGAAAGUAAAUUUAAAUAGAAUUUUAAUUUGAUUUUAGCUCUAAGAUAUGUACAUAUCGCCCGUCACUCUUAUUAUUAAAAUAAGAUAAG
rnacentral:rRNA from 1 species